rnacentral:rRNA from 1 species
GACGAACGCUGGCGGCGUGCUUAACACAUGCAAGUGGAGCGACGAACCGGGCUUCGGCCCGGGGCAAAGCCGCGAACGGGUGAGUAUCACGUGGGUAACCUGCCCCGAUGACCGGGAUAACCCGAGGAAACUCGAGCUAAUACCGGAUGUGCUCCCAAUCCAUCAGGGUUGGAAGUAAAGGAAGCUUCGGCCUCCGCAUUGGGAUGGGCCCGCGGCCCAUUAGCUUGUUGGUGAGGUAACGGCUCACCAAGGCCACGAUGGGUAGCUGGUCUGGGAGGACGAUCAGCCACACUGGGACUGAGACACGGCCCAGACUCCUACGGGAGGCAGCAGUGGGGAAUCUUGCGCAAUGCGCGAAAGCGUGACGAAGCAACGCCGCGUGAGGGAAGAAGGCCUUCGGGUUGUAAACCUCUUUCAGGAGGGACGAAGGUUCAGGCGCGAAUAGCGUCCUGGACUGACGGUACCUCCAGAAGAAACCCCGGCUAACUACGUGCCAGCAGCCGCCGUAAUAC